UGUGGGCUUUAAAAACAGACCUUGAAAUUUGAUUUCAAAGUCUGAUACAGGACUGUUAUGUGUGUUUUUAAGGGUUUAGAUUAGCCUAAGACUAAGUUCGCACAUCUGAAAAACCUUUAUACCUAUACAUUAAAAAAAAAAAUGAAAAUUGUGACUUGAGAGUUAUAAAAAAAAUUGUUACUAAAACCGGUCAGCAGUAUUACAAAGUAUUGCAAAGUUAUCCAGGCUUGUGGAAAUAUACAGGCAAAGUAAGGUGAAAGGCAUAUGAAUUAAAUACGGCAUUGUAGUAUUUUUUAAAGCUAACUGCAGUGAAAUGUGGGCCCU